GGUGGGGGCAGGGCAUGCGGGGAGCACAACUGGAGAAGACCGCGGGGCCACUCGGAGCUGACUAGCCAGGUGGGCUCUUCACGGGGGUCCUAAACCUUCUCUGAGGCCGCCUUCCUUCCUUCCCUAUCGGGGCUCCGUUCCACUGCGCAUCUUCUGGGCCUUGGCCCGGUCCUGCUAUUGCGCCGGUUGUGCCUGGUCCUGUGGCCAGAAGGCCUUGGGAGGCAAGGUUCCUCUCACCUGUCUACCCCAGCCCUGCUGCCUCUCAUGCCAAAAGCCAAGGGCUUCAGAAUGCCUUCCCUGCUACCUCCAUCUCGGCUCCAGGCCCUGGGUUUCUUCGGCCAUCAGGGCAUUGCGACCCUGGCAAUGGGGGCAGUGGGCUGGCCCCCAUGCACUGCCAGGUUAGGGCUCAGCUCAGGCUGCCCUGUGAGCUGGGGCCUGUAGCUCUGACUCUGCCCAGAGUCGUGUAGUGGGUCAUUUCCCCAGGGCUCCUUCUGGACUUGGAAUCUACUCCCUCUUUCCAUUCAGAGCCUCACCCAUGCAUGACUCCCAGGCCUCCCUGUUGAUGGCUACCUCUGUCCAGUUCUCCCAGGGUUACCAUCUGAAGAGCAACUGCUGGACUCCAGCCGCACCAUCAUGGGGAGCCCCGAGGGGCGCUUCCACUUUGCCAUUGACCGCGGGGGCACCUUUACAGAUGUCUUUGCCCAGUGCCCAGGAGGGCAUGUGCGGGUCCUGAAACUGCUCUCUGAGGACCCUGCCAACUAUGCAGACGCACCAACGGAGGGCAUCCGCCGCAUCCUGGAGGAGGUGGGCCCUGGGAGAAGAGGUGGGGUGGGGAGGGACCCCACCACAAGAAGCCUGACUCUGACCCUGUGGUUCUCAGGAGGGGGGCGUGCUAUUGCCCCGGGACCGGCCACUGGACACCAGUCGUAUUGCCAGCAUCCGCAUGGGUACCACAGUGGCCACCAAUGCACUAUUAGAACGACGGGGGGAACGGGUGGCCCUGCUGGUGACACGUGGCUUCCGAGACCUGCUGCACAUUGGCACCCAGGCCCGCGUGGACCUCUUUGAUCUGGUGAGCACCCAGCUGGGUGCUAUGUGGUAUAGCUUCCUUGAAUCUGUCUCAAUAAGUUGCUGUUGCCUUGUGGGGAGUACAAUUGGUGGGAGGAUCAGUGGAGGGCCAAGUCCAGCAGCUGAUAGGCAGAGAGGUAGUUUUGGGUUCUGCCAGAAGGGUACUCUGCCUCAGAGUAGGGACAUAGUGCUCUUUUCCUGUUGCUUCUGUGACCUGUCCUGGACCCUGACAGCCCAAGCAAGUCCUGUUCAGGUUGAAGGUUCAGAGCUGCCCUUUGGGGAUGGGCCAGUUGACCAUAUUCCACUCAGACGCCUGAAGGCAGUGAGCCACCCCAAGGUGAGCCUUGCUGGGCCAGGCUGACUCUCUGCCUCUUGGGCCUGUUUACUGACUUGUUGGGACACAUCCCCUGGCCUGCACCGCUUCACCCACGCUGGACCCACCAGAACCCUCAGGCCUGGGUCUCCUCUGAGUCUCUGCCAACCCCCAGGCUGUGCCCAUGCCAGAGAUGCUGUAUGAGGAGGUGCUGGAGGUGGAGGAACGUGUGGUGCUUUACCGCGGAGAACCAGGCGCCGGGUCGCCUGUCAAAGGUCCAGUGCCACUCACAGCUGUGGGGCCCGGGGGAGGGCAGAUCCUGGCAGCCUCUGAUGGGGGCAAUGGGCCUCUGCAGGCCGCACAGGAGACCUGCUGGAGGUGCAGCAGCCUGUGGACCUGGGGUCCCUGCGUGGGAAACUGGAGGGGCUCCUGUCCCGGGGCAUCCGCAGCCUGGCGGUGGUUCUCAUGCAUUCCUACACGUGAGUGAGGUCAUGAGCCGAGGGUGGAGGGCUGUGGGCCUCAGUGAGAGGCACAGGGCCUGCGAGGACAGUGUAGAGCCCCUGGGUUCUUGUUGUAGAUGGGCCCAACAUGAGCAGCAGGUGGGCACACUGGCCCGGGAGCUGGGCUUCACGCACGUGUCCCUGUCCUCGGAGGCCAUGCCCAUGGUCCGCAUUGUUCCCCGGGGACACACAGCCUGCGCCGACGCCUACCUCACUCCUGCCAUCCAGCGCUACGUGCAGAGCUUCCGCCGUGGCUUCCAGGGCCAGCUUAAGGUAAGGCCCCUCCACUGCCUGCUCCUGGCUUCAGCUCUGGGCCUGCCCAGUCCUUGCUGCCCACCUGCCCGCUUCACAGGACGUGCAGGUGCUCUUCAUGCGCUCCGAUGGUGGCCUGGCGCCCAUGGACGCCUUCAGCGGCUCCCGCGCUGUGCUCUCUGGUCCCGCCGGCGGUGUGGUGGGUUACUCGGCCACAACCUAUCAGCUAGAGGGUCACCAGCCUAUCAUUGGCUUUGACAUGGGAGGUAUGAAGGCUGAAGGGGGCAUCUGGGGGAGGCUUAGCUGCCAGGCUGGGCAAAUCCUGGCAAGCUGGUCUUUGGGUGACUCCCAGCACCCCAUUUCCCACCAGGCACAUCCACAGAUGUGAGCCGCUAUGCUGGGGAAUUUGAGCACGUGUUUGAGGCCAGCACAGCUGGUGUCACCCUCCAGGCCCCACAGCUGGACAUCAACACAGUGGCAGCUGGUGGGGGCUCCCGCCUCUUCUUCAGGUCAGUUCCCACCCUUCCAGCCCAGACCUUCAGCCCUUCUUCCUUUCCCACCUCCAAUCCCAGUCCUCCAUCUCCCCAGGUCUGGCCUCUUCGUAGUUGGGCCCGAGUCAGCAGGUGCCCACCCAGGCCCCGCCUGCUACUGCAAAGGUAAGUGCCAGUAUGUGAGUCUGUGCCCUUCCAGAUCUUGCCUCUUCAUGCUGUCCCAGGCCCAUUCAGUCUUUCCGCCUCGUCCCUGCUGCCCACUCCUGGUCCCCUGCCUCUAGUCUCCAACCCCUACAACAUGCCCACCUCCCAGGGGGCCCCGUGACAGUGACGGAUGCUAAUCUGGUCCUGGGUCGCCUGCUGCCUGCCUCCUUCCCCUGCAUUUUUGGGCCGGGAGAGGACCAGCCACUGUCCCCUGAAGCCUCCCGCAAGGCCCUGGAGGCUGUGGCCACUGAGGUGAACAGCUUCCUGACCAGCGGGUCCUGCCCGGCCUCCCCACUGAGCCUGGAGGAGGUGGCCAUGGGAUUCGUGCGUGUGGCCAAUGAGGCCAUGUGCCGGCCCAUCCGUGCGCUCACACAGGUAUGCCCAUCUCUGCCCACUCUGCCUGUCUUGCCCUCCAGCCCUGCCCCCUGCCCCUAACUUCUUGAUCAGUCAGCCCAGCAGGGAUGAGAGGUAGGGGCUCGACAGGUGGCCUAGGAGAAGCCACUGACCCUUCUGGAUCCUCAGGCACGAGGUCAUGACCCCUCAGCCCAUGUGCUGGCCUGCUUCGGGGGAGCUGGUGGGCAGCAUGCUUGUGCCAUUGCCCGGGCCCUGGGCAUGGACACUGUGCAUAUUCACAGGUGGGUCUGGGUGUGGAUGUGCAGGUGGCCCUGUGUCCUGAGUUGGGGGAGCCAGCUUUGGGAGGAGCCCCCUCACCACUUGCCACCCUGUCCCACAGGCACAGUGGGCUGCUGUCAGCUCUGGGGCUGGCUCUGGCAGACGUGGUGCAUGAGGCCCAGGAGCCUUGCUCCCUGCCUUACACGCCAGAGACCUUCAUGCAGCUGGACCAGAGACUGAGCCUCCUGGAGGAGCAGUGUGUGGAUGCCCUGCAGGCCCAGGGCUUCCCUAGGUGGGGUCCUGGGUCACUGGGCAGAGGGCUUGUGUUAUCCCCACCACCCUGUUGGCGGGUUUACCACCUGGCGACUUCCCAAAUGGUCCCAGGCUCCUUUAGGGCCACGGUGAGGGAGGACCCCUGGACUGAGAGUCCCUGAGAAAGCAGGACAGGCACCAUCCGGGACACUGGGUGAAUGUCCUGCCUGCCUGCUCUAGGUCCCAGAUCAGCACGGAGAGCUUCCUGCAUCUGCGUUACCAGGGAACUGACUGUGCCCUGAUGGUGUCUGCCCACCAGCACCCAGCUACGUCCCGCUCACCCCGUGCUGGUGACUUUGGGGCAGCCUUUGUGGAAAGGUAUGUGAGCCCCUCGUCCUGGGAGCCCAGUGGGUGGCCUGCUUUGCCCUAAUGACUCUUUUGGGCGGGGGUGGUACAGGUACCUGAGGGAGUUUGGCUUCGUCAUCCCUGAGCGGCCUGUGGUGGUGGACGACGUGAGGGUGAGGGGCACUGGCCGCAGUGGUCUUCGGCUGGAGGUCGCCCCCAAAGCCCAGACUGGGCCUCCCCGGGUGGACAAGGUUGGUGGCCUGUGUGCUGGUUUGCCUCUGUCCAUGGGCUCUAGGCACAAGUGCAGAUGGGGAGGUCACACCCUGUGAGGGCCUCAGGGAAUGUGCGAGGCCUAGGAGCCUGGCUCACCCCAUACUCUCUGCAGGUGACCCAGUGCUACUUCGAGGGGGGUUACCAGGAGACCCCUGUGUACCUGCUAGGGGAGCUGGGCUAUGGGCACCAGCUGCAGGGGCCCUGCCUCAUCAUUGACAGCAACAGGUGGGCUGAGACCUGGCCUGGGUGGAACCUUGGAGAGGUGAACUAUAGGGCCCCUGGUGAGGGUUCUUAGGCCCAUGGCUGCAGGGGCCUGAGGGACUUGGGGGGUCCCANAGCAGGUGGGUGCCAAGGGGAAACAUGAGCAAGGGGAAGAGCAGUUUUCCUGUGGGUCAAGGGGUGAUGGGUAUGGCUUUGGCCCUGGGAUGGCACCACCUGCUACAGGAGCAGUCCUCAGGCAGGCAAGUGUCUUCUCCUCUUAUCAGGAUCUGAGGAUAUCUAGGAACUGAAUCCUGAGGCCAACACAGCAAGCUCACCUGUGCAGAGUCAGGACAGGGACUUUUGUGAGCCUGGGGGCGGGGGUCUGUGCCUGGGCACCAGGUCCCUGCUGUACAGGUCAAGGGGAGGCCCCAGGCUCUUGCUGGGAGCUCCAUGGAAUUGAAGAGGAAGGUGAUGCCCUUCACGUAGACCAAGACACACUGUGGCUGUACUGCCCCGGUGGAUGUGCUGCCACCUGGUCUUCCUCAGGGCAUGGGAAAAGUUGCUGGGCCCUGGGUUUGGGUUUGAAGGCCUUGACCCCAUGGGGCCUCCUUCUCCCUUUCCUGGAGCCAUGCUGUGGGUGAUAGAACCAGCGGGUACCUGGUCACUCUGUGUCCCCAGAGCAGAUGGGCCGCAUCCUGCAGCGCACUGCCAUCUCCACCAACAUCAAGGAACGCCUGGACUUCUCCUGUGCCCUCUUUGGACCUGACGGGGGGCUGGUCUCUAAUGCCCCCCACAUUCCUGUGCAUCUGGGAGCCAUGCAGGAGACUGUGCAGUUCCAGGUGCGGCAGGCCCCCUCUCUAGCCUCCCUCGCUGACCCAUGUCCCUGCCCCACCCCCAUUCUGCACCUGUCUCCUGGUUUUAGAUCCAGCACUUGGGGUCUGAUCUCCACCCCGGUGAUGUGCUACUCAGCAACCACCCCAGCGCAGGGGGCAGCCAUCUUCCAGACCUGACUGUAAUCACACCGGUGAGGUUCACUGCCAGGCUACCUUUGUGGGGGUCACAGGUGGCUGACACAGCUGACUGUCACUCUCUACCCGCUAGGUAUUUUGGCCAGGUCAGACUCGGCCUGUGUUCUACGUGGCCAGCCGAGGGCAUCAUGCAGACAUUGGGGGUAUUACACCAGGCUCCAUGCCCCCGCACUCCACUGCACUGCAACAGGAGGGGGCCGUCUUUCUGUCCUUCAAGCUGGUCCAGGGGGGCGUCUUUCAGGAGGAGGGUGAGCCGGAGUGGGGCUGCGGUGGGGGUUCAGCAGGAUGGGAUACCUGGUUGCUGCCAGUGACCCAGCUGGCUGGACCCUGGGAUACAGCCCAGCAGCCCAGGUCUGCCCUGAGGCUGGGGAGUGGCAAAUGGUGACCCCGUGGUGCAGUUGCAGAUCAUCCCCCAGAGAUGAUUAGAGGUGAGAUGAAUUCUGUGUGGCCAAAGAAGUACUCCUUGGAGGUGGUUUGGGGGUAGGAAGUUGGCCAGGACACUCAAAGAGUAGAGUAUAGAAGGAAGAAGGGCCUAUUUCAGGUAGGUAGCUGCUGCAGUCCACACUGGGUUUGGGUGAAGGAUGUUUGGGAACUCAGGGCUGGUAUUGGAUGGGAUUUGGGGGGAGUGAGGGGUCAAGUUUGGAUGAAGGAGGAUGGAGGCCUUACACUGAACAGAGACAGGGAAGGUAGGGUCAGCGGAAAAGGUAGCACAUGGUCUGAGGUUACAGGGGCAUGGGAGUCCAGAGUAGCACCCCAGAACGAGGGUGGGUGAGUUGAGCAGGGUGGAGGGGUAGAAGUAACAGAGCCAUGGUCCACUUUGGGUGUCACAGACACAUAUAGGGUGACGUUGGUCAGGGGUAGCUGGGGUAGGAGGUGUGGAUCAUGGAGGAACAAGUGUAAGUGUAAGUGUAGGGGAUCAGUGCCAGGGAGCCUUGGAGACUGUAACUCAGAAGGGAAGGGGUGUUCCUGAAGAGUGUAGGAGUCUCUGGGUCAGAUCUGCAUCCCUUGCAGGAGUGAGAGGGAACCUUGUCCAGAUCUGAGAAACCUGCAGGUUGGGGGAUAGCACAGGCAGCAGUCUGAUGCUCUUUUGAGGCACUUGGCUGGGGAUGUCAGUGGGAGCUGGCAGGGCUAAGGGCAUAUCGAGGAGGAGGAAUGCCAAGGAAGUGGCUUUUCUCCUGGGAGACAUAGUAGAAGUGGGCUGGAGAAGGCAGGAGGGAUAAGGAGGGAGGAGAGUUUGCUAAGGGACCAAUAUGCCCUCUAGGCAUCUCCAGCUCCAGGGAGGUCACUGGCCAAGCUGCCCUUAGGCGCUGGCUAUCAGAAGGAUAAAAGGAUGGAGGCUGGUGCUUCAGGGAAUGGGAGUCAGCAGGACAGGUGGGGAUUCAGUGGAGGGCCAACAGUGCCCAGUGGGGGUGCAGUGGGGCUGGAAUAGGGCACCAGGUGGCUGAGGAGAUGGGGGCAGCUCAGUGGUGACCUCAUCCAUUCCAUCCAGCGGUGACAGAGGCCUUACGGGCACCAAGCAAGAUCUCUGGUUGUAGUGGAACUAGGAAUCUGCAUGACAAUCUGUCGGAUCUCCGUGCCCAGGUGGCAGCCAACCAAAAGGGCAUACGGUUGGUGGGGGAGCUCAUCGGGCAAUAUGGCUUGGAUGUUGUGCAGGCCUACAUGGGCCACAUUCAGGUGGGUCUAGGGGCAGGGAGGUGGGAGCCCCACUCUGCCUGCCCAAGGUGCAGGGCCACUCUGAAAGUAGCAUGGCUGCCAUGGGACCCUCUCCCUGCCAGGCAAAUGCAGAGCUGGCAGUGCGUGACAUGCUGCGGGCCUUUGGAACCUCCCGGCAGGCUCGGGGACUACCCCUUGAGGUGUCUGCGGAGGACCACAUGGAUGAUGGCUCGCCUAUACACCUCCGAGUUCAAAUCAACCUGAGUCAGGUCAGACCUAGUUGGGAGACAGGGAGGGAGCUUUCUGCGCCACCCCACUGCUGAUGCCUUCACCCUUCUCCUUCCUGGGCAGGGCAGUGCUGUAUUUGACUUCAGUGGCACUGGGCCGGAGGUGUUUGGCAACCUCAAUGCCCCGCGGGCCAUAACGCUGUCGGCCCUCAUCUACUGCUUGCGCUGUCUUGUGGGCCGUGACAUCCCACUCAACCAGGUUCGCAGGGGGGUGGAGUCUGAGGUCGGUCCCUACCAGUGCGAGGUCAGCAGGUGAACCUGAGGCUGG
rnacentral:lncRNA from 1 species